rnacentral:rRNA from 1 species
UACGAAGGGGGCUAGCGUUGUUCGGAAUUACUGGGCGUAAAAGCGCACGUAGGCGGAUAUUUUAAGUCAGGGGGUGAAAUCCCCAGAGCUCAACUCUGGAACUGCCUUUUGAUACUGGGGUAUCUUUGAGUAUGGAAAGAGGUGAGUGGAAUUCCGAGUGUAGAGGUGAAAAUUCGUAGAUAUUCGGAGGAACACCAGUGGCGAAGGCGAGUCCCUGGACAACACCCUGACACUGAGGCACGAAAGCUAGGGGGAGCAAAACAGG